CGCCUGUUUUUCCUCAGAUUCAGGCCAGGCAUAUUUUUCUUGCCUGAAUCUGAGUCAAGCGAAUGGAAUUGUAUCAGCUUGCCGAAGGUUUUGAAGAGGUACCAGACGAACUCUGGAAAAAAGCUCUGAGAUGCAAAGCACGAGGCAUCUUAAGGGUGAGGAUUUGAACUCCCUUUACCCAAAAGAAUUAAUUCCAAUUGAAGAAGUCCUUUAGAUUGGUCUUACGAGAGUACGGAAGAAGCAAGUGAGAAAUUUGUUGGAUGAAUCGUUAGUCAUCAAUUUUUUUACCCAUGCUAGAUGGAGAUUUGGAAGAUGCACAAGAAAAAUGAAAAGUUGCUUGAGGAGGAGAACAAGCAACUGACUUAUAUGCUGGUAAUCUUCUUAAAAGAUGAUGUUUACAGCUUGGGUGUGUUUCACUGCUUCAAAUGUUAUAC